GUUUGAUCCUGGCUCAGGAUGAACGCUGGCGGCGUGCUUAACACAUGCAAGUCGAACGAAGCACUUUAUUUGAUUUCUUCGGAAUGAAGAUUUUGUGACUGAGUGGCGGACGGGUGAGUAACGCGUGGGUAACCUGCCUCAUACAGGGGGAUAACAGUUGGAAACGACUGCUAAUACCGCAUAAGCGCACAGGGUCGCAUGACCUGGUGUGAAAAACUCCGGUGGUAUGAGGUGGACCCGCGUCUGAUUAGCCAGUUGGUGGGGUAACGGCCUACCAAAGCGACGAUCAGUAGCCGACCUGAGAGGGUGACCGGCCACAUUGGGACUGAGACACGGCCCAAACUCCUACGGGAGGCAGCAGUGGGGAAUAUUGCACAAUGGGGGAAACCCUGAUGCAGCGACGCCGCGUGAGCGAAGAAGUAUUUCGGUAUGUAAAGCUCUAUCAGCAGGGAAGAAGAAAUGACGGUACCUGACUAAGAAGCACCGGCUAAAUACGUGCCAGCAGCCGCGGUAAUACGUAUGGUGCAAGCGUUAUCCGGAUUUACUGGGUGUAAAGGGAGCGCAGGCGGUACGGCAAGUCUGAUGUGAAAGCCCGGGGCUCAACCCCGGUACUGCAUUGGAAACUGUCGGACUAGAGUGUCGGAGGGGUAAGUGGAAUUCCUAGUGUAGCGGUGAAAUGCGUAGAUAUUAGGGAACACCAGUGGCGAAGGCGGCUUACUGGACGAUUACUGACGCUGAGGCUCGAAAGCGUGGGGAGUAAACAGGAUUAGAUACCCUGGUAGUCCACGCUGUAAACGAUGAAUACUAGGUGUCGGGGAGCAUUGCUCUUCGGUGCCGCAGCAAACGCAAUAAGUAUUCCACCUGGGGAGUACGUUCGCAAGAAUGAAACUCAAAGGAAUUGACGGGGACCCGCACAAGCGGUGGAGCAUGUGGUUUAAUUUGAAGCAACGCGAAGAACCUUACCAAGUCUUGACAUCCCGAUGACAGAACAUGUAAUGUGUUUUCUCUUCGGAGCAUCGGUGACAGGUGGUGCAUGGUUGUCGUCAGCUCGUGUCGUGAGAUGUUGGGUUAAGUCCCGCAACGAGCGCAACCCCUAUUCUUAGUAGCCAGCGGUUCGGCCGGGCACUCUAGGGAGACUGCCCGGGAUAACCUGGAGGAAGGUGGGGAUUACGUCAAAUCAUCAUGCCCCUUAUGACUUGGGCUACACACGUGCUACAAUGGCGUAAACAAAGGGAAGCGAGCCUGCGAGGGGGAGCAAAUCUCAAAAAUAACGUCUCAGUUCGGACUGCAGUCUGCAACUCGACUGCACGAAGCUGGAAUCGCUAGUAAUCGCGAAUCAGAAUGUCGCGGUGAAUACGUUCCCGGGUCUUGUACACACCGCCCGUCACACCAUGGGAGUUGGUAAUGCCCGAAGUCAGUGACCUAACCGCAAGGAGGGAGCUGCCGAAGGCAGGAUCGAUAACUGGGGUGAAGUCGAAACAAGGUA
rnacentral:rRNA from 1 species